GACGAACGCUGGCGGCGUGCCUAAUACAUGCAAGUCGAGCGGAUCUUCAUUAGCUUGCUUUUGAAGAUCAGCGGCGGACGGGUGAGUAACACGUGGGCAACCUGCCUGUAAGACUGGGAUAACUUCGGGAAACCGGAGCUAAUACCGGAUAAUCCUUUCCCUCACAUGAGGGAAAGCUGAAAGACGGUUUCGGCUGUCACUUACAGAUGGGCCCGCGGCGCAUUAGCUAGUUGGUGAGGUAACGGCUCACCAAGGCAACGAUGCGUAACCGACCUGAGAGGGUGAUCGGCCACACUGGGACUGAGACACGGCCCAGACUCCUACGGGAGGCAGCAGUAGGGAAUCUUCCGCAAUGGACGAAAGUCUGACGGAGCAACGCCGCGUGAGCGAUGAAGGCCUUCGGGUCGUAAAGCUCUGUUGUCAGGGAAGAACAAGUACCGGAGUAACUGCCGGUACCUUGACGGUACCUGACCAGAAAGCCACGGCUAACUACGUGCCAGCAGCCGCCGUAACAC
rnacentral:rRNA from 1 species